rnacentral:tRNA from 2 species
UUCCCGCUAGUUUAACGGAAAAACAAAAGAUUCUGGUUCUUUAGAUCUACGUUCGAUUCGUAGGCGGGAAGCCA